rnacentral:rRNA from 1 species
UACGUAGGGCGCAAGCGUUGUCCGGAAUUAUUGGGCGUAAAGAGCUCGUAGGCGGCUUGUUGCGUCGGUUGUGAAAGCCCGGGGCUUAACCCCGGGUCUGCAGUCGAUACGGGCAGGCUAGAGUGUGGUAGGGGAGAUCGGAAUUCCUGGUGUAGCGGUGAAAUGCGCAGAUAUCGGGAGGAACACCAGUAGCGAAGGCGGCACUCUGGGCCGUGACUGACGCUGAGGAGCGAAAGCGUGGGGAGCGAACAGG